rnacentral:pre_miRNA from 1 species
GCUAUGACGGCUUGGCACUCGAGAACGACUGCGCAGAUGACGCAGCGAUCGACGGUGCCAAACCAACGGCUCGCCA